GACGAACGCUGGCGGCGUGCUUAACACAUGCAAGUCGUACGGUAAGGCCCUUUCGGGGGUACACGAGUGGCGAACGGGUGAGUAACACGUGAGUAACCUGCCCACAACUUUGGGAUAACGCUAGGAAACUGGUGCUAAUACUGGAUAUGUGCUCCUGCUGCAUGGUGGGGGUUGGAAAGCUCCGGCGGUUGUGGAUGGACUCGCGGCCUAUCAGCUUGUUGGUGGGGUAGUGGCCUACCAAGGCGGCGACGGGUAGCCGGCCUGAGAGGGUGACCGGCCACAUUGGGACUGAGAUACGGCCCAGACUCCUACGGGAGGCAGCAGUGGGGAAUAUUGCACAAUGGGCGCAAGCCUGAUGCAGCAACGCCGCGGGCGGGAUGACGGCCUUAGGGUUGUAAACCGAUUUCAGCAGGGACGAAGCUUUUUGUGACGGUACCUGCAGAAGAAGCACCGGCUAACUACGUG
rnacentral:rRNA from 1 species